UCAAGUCCCUCUUCGAGAGUCCGAGAACGUGUAACAUUAACCGUCUUGAACCAGCCAGUCUGUUGAGCGCAGUUCUGCUUUCUAGAUGGACGCCCCUUUGUCGCAUCCGGCUUGCUUCCUUCGAAGCAAGAAGGAGUGCGGGAAUAAAGACCUCGGCGUGGUUUGCGCCAAGGACGGAUGUUGUUGGAGUGCAUUGCCUACUUUAUGUGGUGCGGUGUUUCCUCCUACUGGUGUGAGAAUAUGCAUGACUCUUGGCAACGGAUAUCUAGGCUCUCGCGUCGAUGAAGAACGUAGCAAAAUGCGAUACUUGGUGUGAAUUGCAGAAUCCCGUGAACCAUCGAGUCUUUGAACGCAAGUUGCGCCUAAGACCGUCAGGUCAAGGGCACGUCUGCUUGGGCGUCGCGCCUUACGUCACUCCAAACCCCACUACCACGCGUAAACCGCUAUGCUGGUAAGGGUGUGUGUGGAUGUGGAUAGUGACCCUUCGUGCCUCCGGUGCGCGGUGGGUUUGAGUGAUGGUCGUUGCUAGGUUUCGCACGCGGCGAAUGGUGGAUUAGAGUAUGCGCCUCCGGUUGUGCAAAAGACUCCCAGCCACGACUUACAAGAAGUAAAACCUGUGACGGUGCUUGCACAUUUGCAAGCUCGGACC
rnacentral:misc_RNA from 1 species